AGUGAACGCUGGCGGUAGGCCUAACACAUGCAAGUCGAACGGCAGCACAGUAAGAGCUUGCUCUUACGGGUGGCGAGUGGCGGACGGGUGAGGAAUACAUCGGAAUCUACUUUUUCGUGGGGGAUAACGUAGGGAAACUUACGCUAAUACCGCAUACGACCUACGGGUGAAAGCAGGGGAUCUUCGGACCUUGCGCGAUUGAAUGAGCCGAUGUCGGAUUAGCUAGUUGGCGGGGUAAAGGCCCACCAAGGCGACGAUCCGUAGCUGGUCUGAGAGGAUGAUCCGCCAGACUGGAACUGAGACACGGUCCAGACUCCUACGGGAGGCAGCAGUGGGGAAUAUUGGACAAUGGGCGAAAGCCUGAUACAGCCAUACCGCGUGGGUGAAGAAGGCCUUCGGGUUGUAAAGCCCUUUUGUUGGGAAAGAAAAGAAGCAGGUUAAUACCCCGCUGUUCUGACGGUACCCAAAGAAUAAGCACCGGCUAACUUCGUG
rnacentral:rRNA from 1 species